CUAUGUGGGGACGGAGAAGGUUAGCUCAGCCAACUGUUGGAUAUGUUGGUUCAAGCCUGUAGUCGUGCCUGGUAGGCAAAUCCGCCGGGCUUAGAUGAGGGGUGAUAACGAGUCUGCUUGCAGACGAAGUGAGUGAUACCCAUCUUCCAGGAAAAGCCACUAAGCUUCAGCUACACACGACCGUACCGCAAACCGACACUGGUGCGCGAGAUGAGUAUUCUAAGGCGCUUGAGAGAACUCAGGAGAAGGAACUCGGCAAAUUGAUACCGUAACUUCGGGAGAAGGUAUGCCCCAAGUAGGUGAACUCGAACAGAGGGAGCCCAACGGGGUUGCAAAAAUCGGUGGCUGCGACUGUUUAAUAAAAACACAGCACUCUGCAAACACGAAAGUGGACGUAUAGGGUGUGACGCCUGCCCGGUGCUGGAAGAUUAAAUGAUGGGGUGCAAGCUCUUGAUUGAAGUCCCAGUAAACGGCGGCCGUAACGAUAACGGUCCUAAGGUAGCGAAAUUCCUUGUCGGGUAAGUUCCGACCUGCACGAAUGGCGUAACGAUGGCCACACUGUCUCCUCCUGAGACUCAGCGAAGUUGAAAUGUUUGUGAUGAUGCAAUCUCCCCGCGGAAAGACGGAAAGACCCCAUGAACCUUUACUGUAGCUUUGUAUUGGACUUUGAACAGAUCUGUGUAGGAUAGGUGGGAGGCUUUGAAGUGAUGUCGCUAGAUGUCAUGGAGCCAACGUUGAAAUACCACCCUGGUGUGUUUGAGGUUCUAACCUAGGUCCAUUAUCUGGAUCGGGGACAGUGCAUGGUAGGCAGUUUGACUGGGGCGGUCUCCUCCCAAAGCGUAACGGAGGAGUUCGAAGGUACGCUAGUUACGGUCGGACAUCGUGACGAUAGUGCAAUGGCAUAAGCGUGCUUAACUGCGAGACUGACAAGUCGAGCAGAUGCGAAAGCAGGACAUAGUGAUCCGGUGGUUCUGUAUGGAAGGGCCAUCGCUCAACGGAUAAAAGGUACUCUGGGGAUAACAGGCUGAUACCGCCCAAGAGUUCAUAUCGACGGCGGUGUUUGGCACCUCGAUGUCGGCUCAUCUCAUCCUGGGGCUGUAGCCGGUCCCAAGGGUAUGGCUGUUCGCCAUUUAAAGAGGUACGUGAGCUGGGUUUAAAACGUCGUGAGACAGUUUGGUCCCUAUCUUCCGUGGGCGCUGCAGAUUUGAGGAAGCCUGCUCCUAGUACGAGAGGACCGGAGUGGACACACCUCUGGUGUAUCGGUUGUCACGCCAGUGGCAUUGCCGAGUAGCUAAGUGUGGAAGAGAUAACCGCUGAAAGCAUCUAAGCGGGAAACUCGUUUCAAGAUGAGAUCUGCCGGGGCCUUGAGCCCCCUGAAGAGUCGUUCAAGACCAGGACGUUGAUAGGUCAGGUGUGGAAGC
rnacentral:rRNA from 1 species